UACGGAGGGGGCUAGCGUUGUUCGGAAUUACUGGGCGUAAAGCGCGCGUAGGCGGAUCUGCAAGUCGGGGGUGAAAUCCCGAGGCUCAACCUCGGAACUGCCUUCGAUACUGCGGGUCUCGAGUCCGGGAGAGGUGAGUGGAAUUCCUAGUGUAGAGGUGAAAUUCGUAGAUAUUCGGAAGAACACCAGUGGCGAAGGCGACACACUGGGCCAUUACUGACGCUGAGGCGCGAAAGCGUGGGGAGCAAACAGG
rnacentral:rRNA from 1 species